UACGUAGGGUGCGAGCGUUGUCCGGAAUUAUUGGGCGUAAAGAGCUCGUAGGCGGUGUGUCACGUCGGCCGUGAAAACCUGCAGCUUAACUGUGGGCGUGCGGUCGAUACGGGCAUCACUGGAGUUCGGCAGGGGAGACUGGAAUUCCUGGUGUAGCGGUGAAAUGCGCAGAUAUCGUAAGGAAGACCAGUGGCGAAGGCGAGUCUCUGGACAGCAACUGACGCUGAGGCACGAAGGCCAGGGGAGCAAACGGG
rnacentral:rRNA from 1 species